AGUGAACGCUGGCGGUAGGCCUAACACAUGCAAGUCGAACGGCAGCACAGUAAGAGCUUGCUCUUACGGGUGGCGAGUGGCGGACGGGUGAGGAAUACAUCGGAAUCUACUUUUUCGUGGGGGCUAACGUAGGGAAACUUACGCUAAUACCGCAUACGACCUACGGGUGAAAGCAGGGGAUCUUCGGACCUUGCGCGAUUGAAUGAGCCGAUGUCGGAUUAGCUAGUUGGCGGGGUAAAGGCCCACCAAGGCGGCGAUCCGUAGCUGGUCUGAGAGGAUGAUCAGCCACACUGGAACUGAGACACGGUCCAGACUCCUACGGGAGGCAGCAGUGGGGAAUAUUGGACAAUGGGCGCAAGCCUGAUCCAGCCAUACCGCGUGGGUGAAGAAGGCCUUCGGGUUGUAAAGCCCUUUUGUUGGGAAAGAAAAGCAGCAGGUUAAUACCCCGCUGUUCUGACGGUACCCAAAGAAUAAGCACCGGCUAACUUCGUG
rnacentral:rRNA from 1 species